rfam:Triticum aestivum genome assembly, contig: Triticum_aestivum_CS42_TGACv1_scaffold_544003_6DS
AUACCUUUCUCGGCCUUUUGGCUAAGAUCAAGUGUAGUAUCUGUUCUUAUCAGUUUAAUAUCUAAUAUGUGGGCUAUGCACCCACAAUGCCCGUGCGUUGCAAUGGGAGUAAAAAUU